GACGAACGCUGGCGGCGUGCUUAACACAUGCAAGUCGAACGGUAAGGCCCUUCGGGGUACACGAGUGGCGAACGGGUGAGUAACACGUGGGUGAUCUGCCCUGCACUUCGGGAUAAGCCUGGGAAACUGGGUCUAAUACCGGAUAGGACUCCUGGCUUCAUGGUUGGGGGUGGAAAGCUUUUGCGGUGUGGGAUGGGCCCGAGGCCUAGCAGCUUGUCGGUGGGGUAAUGGCCUACCAAGGCGACGACGGGUGGCCGGCCUGAGAGGGUGACCGGUCACACUGGGACUGAGAUACGGCCCAGACUCCUACGGGAGGCAGCAGUGGGGAAUAUUGCACAAUGGGCGCAAGCCUGAUGCAGCGACGCCGCGUGAGGGAUGACGGCCUUCGGGUUGUAAACCUCUUUCAGCUAUGACGAAGCGCAAGUGACGGUAGUAGCAGAAGAAGGACCGGCCAACUACGUGCCAGCAGCCGCAGUAA
rnacentral:rRNA from 1 species